rnacentral:rRNA from 1 species
CCUACGGGGGGCUGCAGUGGGGAAUAUUGGACAAUGGGGGGAACCCUGAUCCAGCCAUGCCGCGUGUGUGAAGAAGGCCCUCGGGUUGUAAAGCACUUUCAGUGAGGAAGAACGCCUGGUGGUUAAUACCCAUCAGGAAAGACAUCACUCACAGAAGAAGCACCGGCUAACUCCGUGCCAGCAGCCGCGGUAAUACGGAGGGUGCGAGCGUUAAUCGGAAUUACUGGGCGUAAAGCGCGCGUAGGUGGCUUGAUAAGCCGGUUGUGAAAGCCCCGGGCUCAACCUGGGAACGGCAUCCGGAACUGUCUAGCUAGAGUGCAGGAGAGGAAGGUAGAAUUCCCGGUGUAGCGGUGAAAUGCGUAGAGAUCGGGAGGAAUACCAGUGGCGAAGGCGGCCUUCUGGACUGACACUGACACUGAGGUGCGAAAGCGUGGGUAGCAAACAGGAUUAGAUACCCGUGUAGUC